rnacentral:rRNA from 1 species
AGAGUUUGAUUCUGGCUCAGAACGAACGCUGGCGGCGCGCCUAAUACAUGCAAGUCGAGCGAGAAGGUGUAGCAAUACACUUGUAAAGCGGCGAACGGGUGAGGAAUACAUGGGUAAUCUACCAUCGAGUGGGGAAUAACCAGCCGAAAGGUUGGCUAAUACCGCGUACGCCUCCGAAUCUUCGGGUUCGGAGGGAAAGCCACACUGUGAGUGCGGCGCUCUUUGAUGAGCUCAUGUCCUAUCAGCUUGUUGGUAGGGUAACGGCCUACCAAGGCUUUGACGGGUAGCUGGUCUGAGAGGACGAUCAGCCACACUGGCACUGCGACACGGGCCAGACUCCUACGGGAGGCAGCAGUAAGGAAUAUUGCGCAAUGGGCGAAAGCCUGACGCAGCGACGCCGCGUGGGGGAUGAAGGUCUUCGGAUUGUAAACCCCUUUCGGGAGGGAAGAUGGAGCGAGCAAUCGUUCGGACGGUACCUCCAGAAGCAGCCACGGCCAACUUCGUGCCAGCAGCCGCGGUAAUACGAAGGUGGCAAGCGUUGUUCGGAUUCACUGGGCGUACAGGGUGUGUAGGCGGUUUGGUAAGCCUUCUGUUAAAGCUUCGGGCCCAACCCGGAAAGCGCAGAGGGUACUGCCAGGCUAGAGGGUGGGAGAGGAGCGCGGAAUUCCCGGUGUAGCGGUGAAAUGCGUAGAGAUCGGGAGGAAGGCCGGUGGCGAAGGCGACGCUCUGGAACAUACCUGACGCUGAGACACGAAAGCGUGGGGAGCAAACAGGAUUAGAUACCCUGGUAGUCCACGCCCUAAACUAUGGAUACUAAGUGUCGGCGGGUUACCGCCGGUGCCGCAGCUAACGCAUUAAGUAUCCCGCCUGGGAAGUACGGCCACAAGGUUGAAACUCAAAGGAAUUGACGGGGGCCCGCACAAGCGGUGGAGCAUGUGGUUUAAUUCGACGCAACGCGAAGAACCUUACCCAGGUUGGACAUGCACGUAGUAGAAAGGUGAAAGCCUGACGAGGUAGCAAUACCAGCGUGCUCAGGUGCUGCAUGGCUGUCGUCAGCUCGUGCCGUGAAGUGUUGGGUUAAGUCCCGCAACGAGCGCAACCCCUGCUUUCAGUUGCUACCGGGUCAUGCCGAGCACUCUGAAAGGACUGCCCAGG